rnacentral:lncRNA from 1 species
CCCUCGGGCCUGCAGCGGCCUCCUCAUGGCCGCCGGGGGCUGCAGGCCCGGGGGCCGCUGGGUGACGGAGCGGCCGUUGUCAGUCAGCUCCUGUCAGUCAGCGCCCACCUCAGCCGGGCCCGUGUGAUCAGGCUCUGAGAGGGAAGGCGGGCGGCCUGGGCGGUGGCAGUGAGUCUGCAGCCCCUCUGCCAGCACCGGGGUGGGCAGUGCUUGGAAGAUUUCAUGAGUUCAUUCAGUGUUUUCUGUCUGCUUUAGGAAGACUUAGGCAGGGAGAAAUAAAUUCUUCAUGACAAAGCGCUGUCUGUGCAUCCUCUGAGCUCUGAGCCCUCAGCUGGUGUUUACAUCACUGCCUUUUCCUAGGAGAAUAUCCCUGCAGGAUGUCCUAGAAGUGGAUGAAAACCCGCCUGUUCAUCUGAGGGCCCCGCGGAGCGCGGAGGAGCGCAGGCAGUCCC